rnacentral:rRNA from 1 species
CAGCAGCCACGGUAAUACGAGGGGGGCAAGCGUUGUUCGGAAUUAUUGGGCGUAAAGGGUGCGUAGGCGGCUUGACAAGUCUUGUGUGAAAUCUAUGGGCUCAACCCAUAGUCUGCACGGGAAACUGUCGGGCUUGAGAAUGGGAGAGGUGAGUGGAAUUUCCGGUGUAGCGGUGAAAUGCGUAGAUAUCGGAAGGAACACCUGUGGCGAAAGCGGCUCACUGGACCAUUUCUGACGCUGAUGCACGAAAGCUAGGGGAGCAAACAGGAUUAGAUACCCGGGUAGUCCCUGUCUCUUAUAC